ensembl:lncRNA
GGGAAAGGGCUAUGGCAAAUAUUCUCAGUGACAGACUGUAGUUCUGAAAAGGGAGGGAUUGCUAUUAAAUCUUCUUAAAUGAAUUAGGAUUAAGCUCAAACCUCCUAAAAAGUAAAAAGUUACGGAGUCCUCCUCUGCAACGACCACACACAGACCGCUGAAGGCUGCUAGACGCUGCCGUGUUUUCAAAACAAACUAAUAAACCAACUUACGGCCAAACUUACGACAGUGUCGAUAAAACGCGAAGGCCAGCAUUCCAGCUGCAAGCACAAUAAUCAUGCAGUUACAGGAAAUUAAUCAGUGACGAGGUGGCGUGAUGAAGCUUUCCAGCUUGGGCCACAGGGAGCCUGGAGCUCAUGCCAGGGAUCUUGGGAACAAGGCAUUCUGGACGGGAUGUCAAGACAUCGUAGGGUUCACGCACACACUCGCUCACUCACACACACACAUACACACACACACACACUUUAGAGAUGCCAAAUCAGCCUACAGCGCAUGUCUUUGAACUGGGGGAGUAAACAGAGUACCCAGAGGAAACCCCUGAAGCAGGGAGAACAUGUGAACCCCUAACCCUGGAGGUGUGAGACAAAUUUACAGAAUUUACUGCUGACAAACUCGCUUUAUUCUUCUACACCAACAAAACUCUUAAUAUAAGUUUUUUUUCUUUUAUUAUUAUUUUUUUUAAAGAGAUACAUCAGCUCAUUAUAGGUUCAAAAAUGCAGUACAACUAAAAUGCUGAACAAGACCAUCUUUAAAAAAUGUCACAAAACACUGACAAUAUAUCCUGACAUUUUGUAACAAGUAAAACAUAUAGAAAGUAAACAUAUAAAGAAGAAAUAUUGCC